UCCCUGACCCUGCCGUAUGCUCCUCCCCGUCAAUUCGGUUAGUCGCCAGGUGCAUCGCCUCACUGAGAUAUCACCAUGAAUAUUCCUUUUCAAGACUGUCCAUAUUUUGUUCUGUUAAAGGGCUUUGUUAGAAAAUCUGAUUUAACUGAGUAUUAUUCUGCUCUAAAUUGCGGCCCCUUCUGGUUGUGAGUGGAUCCAAGAGUUCACAUGAUGCAGUAUCUUUUUGAAAGAUGAUACAUUAUCUUCAUAAAAGAAAGGAAGUUGGAGGAGUUAUUAUUGAAGAGGGAUUCAGUGACUUCCCGAAGGAGAAGAAGGAGGUGCGGAAAGAGGAUGGGAGCAACAAAUCUGAAUCAAAGAGGGUGAGAAUUACUUAUCGAUGACUCGGGCAUCAACUCUUGAUUUUCGGCGGAAGACACAAGGUCAGAACAACUGGUCUGGGCCGUUGCGCCUAGUAAAUGUCAUCAGAAAUAAAUUCCCUACCUACAAGAAUGGUACGAAUGGGAUAGUCAUCAAAUUUGCUGAUGAGCCAGAAACGCCAUGACUUAAGGAGUCUGUUGCCAAAGAGACAGCAGAUCUGCUUGAUCGGCGUCAGCGUCUUUCAGUCCGCGAGCUCGCAAUGAAAUUUGAGAAGGGCCUCAGUACUGCCACAUUAUUAUCUAAUGAGGUUAAAUGUAAACAAGUGGCUUUAUUGGAGCGAGACAUCCUUCUGAAG